GACGAACGCUGGCGGCGUGCCUAAUACAUGCAAGUAGAACGCUGAAGGAGGAGCUUGCUUCUCUGGAUGAGUUGCGAACGGGUGAGUAACGCGUAGGUAACCUGCCUGGUAGCGGGGGAUAACUAUUGGAAACGAUAGCUAAUACCGCAUAAUAGUAGAUGUUGCAUGACAUUUGCUUAAAAGGUGCAAUUGCAUCACUACCAGAUGGACCUGCGUUGUAUUAGCUAGUUGGUGGGGUAACGGCUCACCAAGGCGACGAUACCUAGCCGACCUGAGAGGGUGAUCGGCGACACUGGGACUGAGACACGGCCCAGACUCCUACGGGAGGCAGCAGUAGGGGAUCUUCGGCAAUGGACGGAAGUCUGACCGAGCAACGCCGCGUGAGUGAAGAAGGUUUUCGGAUCGUAAAGCUCUGUUGUAAGAGAAGAACGAGUGUGAGAGUGGAAAGUUCACACUGUGACGGUAUCUUACCAGAAAGGGACGGCUAACUACGUG
rnacentral:rRNA from 1 species